CCCCGCCCAGGUCCUGUCUGGCCCAAUAGACAAGAGACUGCGAGUCCGGCGACCGGGCUAAGCCAAUGAGCGCCGGCGGGGCGGGGAGAGCGGUGGCCGGCGUGUCUGUGGCAGAGGCUAGGGUACGGGUAGGUUUUCUGUGUCUGUUGCUGGCAGUACGGACUGUUCCGUCUCACAACGACUGGGUUUCUUCCGUGUUGCUCUACUUUCUGUGCAGAGUUCCUCCGCUCCAACCAAGCCCCUUUUUCGUUCAACCUACAGAAUCCCCCUACCAGAUGGGAUCAAGGGAGAGCAGUAUUUAGAUUGCAAAAUGGGGGAAUUGCGGCUGUCUCAGGGUAAUUUGGCUGUCGCUUCUUCACAAUAAAGGUCCUGUUCAAAAUAGAGAUUUGCUGUUGUCCAUCAAUUCAAAUUCACUUGGAAGGACAUGUGUCUUGAUUGUUGCUUUUUAAUCUCUUCAUUUCAAAUUGCUGCUCCUGGAUCCCCCUGUGACCAUGUCUGGCCCUUUAAAAUGAGAACUUAUAUACAUAAAAGGUCAUCUGCCUGAAUAAAUUACUGUAAAGAAAAGCCAAAGGAAAAUACUCUUGCCACGUAACUGGACACACAAAUAAAUAUCUUGUUCAAAAGGAAUUAUUUUUUUCUGCUCAUAGGCUCUGAGCCCAUUACCAUAGCAACCACAACUUGUGUUGUCUAACUGGAUGUGAAUUUUAUACACUGUUAUUUGAAAUGUUAAGGCAGUAAGUGAAGAUAAAGUGCAAUUUCUAUAAUAUUUGGAAGGACUUGUUUAUCUCAAAAAUCUUGUAAAGUUUCAUUGUGCAGCCUACUCAUUUGUUUAAUGAAACAGUUUAUUCAACACUGACCAUCGGCACAGCGUGUGCUAAGCAUGUUAGAGAAGUGAAAAGCAUAAAGAACACUUAACCUGGAGGAACUUCUCUAAUAAAAUCAGCUUGUCAUGGGUAAACAGAAUGCCUGAAAGAACAGUUUUUUCAUAGGGAGUUAUCUAAUUUUAGAACAAUCUGAUCAUCAUAAUUACAGUAGUCUAUUAGGACCUGUAAGUAAGACAGCUAGAGGCUUGUUACAGCUGGUCAGAUUGCCCACAAGUAUUCAAAUACCUAUUGUAACCCCUACAGCAGGUACUUUUCCUUUUGGUCUUACAAAUGUGUUUGUAGCUACUCUCUGGAGAGGUGAGUGUUUCCUUCAUUGGAAGCUGAACACUUCUUGGCAGCUGGUACUGGCCUGAGGAAGCUGAAAAUGCCCACUGAUGAACAUGGAAGAAAAGUGUGAUGGUUCACCUGUUUCAGGUUGCUGAGAAAAUGGCUGUCCUGGCUGUGCUGCCACGGGCUGAGUGAUCACUGAGAGCGAGGACACAAAGGCCACAUGAUGAACAGGAAAUGCAAACCUUUCAACUGG